GUGCACGCUGGCGGUAGGCCUAACACAUGCAAGUCGAACGGCAGCACAGUAAGAGCUUGCUCUUACGGGUGGCGAGUGGCGGACGGGUGAGGAAUACAUCGGAAUCUACUUUUUCGUGGGGGAUAACGUAGGGAAACUUACGCUAAUACCGCAUACGACCUACGGGUGAAAGCAGGGGAUCUUCGGACCUUGCGCGAUUGAAUGAGCCGAUGUCGGAUUAGCUAGUUGGCGGGGUAAAGGCCCACCAAGGCGACGAUCCGUAGCUGGUCUGAGAGGAUGAUCAGCCACACUGGAACUGAGACACGGUCCAGACUCCUACGGGAGGCAGCAGUGAGGAAUAUUGGACAAUGGGCGCAAGCCUGAUCCAGCCAUACCGCGUGGGUGAAGAAGGCCUUCGAGUUGUAAAGCCCUUUUGUUGGGAAAGAAAAGCAGCAGGUUAAUACCCCGCUGUUCUGACGGUACCCAAAGAAUAAGCACCGGCUAACUUCGUG
rnacentral:rRNA from 1 species